rnacentral:sRNA from 1 species
CUUCUCAACACAUUGUCAACAUCUGUAUUCAUUAAGUUCUCUUCAGGGCAUCUUUGAUCCUUGAUCAAGACGCACAACUCCAUGGGCACAUAAUUCAUCUUGUUGCCUCCACAACUUUCAAUCCGACAAGUAAAUCCUCAAAGAUCUGACGUCCAGGUUGAGAAGCAUGUGGUUCUAAAGAUUCCCCACGGGAAGAAGAAGAAGGAUUUAACUUCCGUUGCCACUAUUCUUUUGGCUGUGGUUGGGAAGGAGACCAGUGUUCAUUACCACCACUUAACUGGGG